rnacentral:rRNA from 1 species
UACGUAGGGUGCGAGCGUUUGUCCGGAAUUAUUGGGCGUAAAGGGCUCGUAGGCGGUUUGUCGCGUCGGGAGUGAAAUCCACUGGCUUAACUGGUGGCUGCUUUCGAUACGGGCAGACUGGAGGUAUGCAGGGGAGAACGGAAUUCCUGGUGUAGCGGUGAAAUGCGCAGAUAUCAGGAGGAACACCGGUGGCGAAGGCGGUUCUCUGGGCAUGUCCUGACGCUGAGGAGCGAAAGUGUGGGGAGCGAACAGG